UACGUAGGGGGCAAGCGUUGUCCGGAUUUAUUGGGCGUAAAGAGCGUGUAGGCGGUUUGGUAGGUCCGCUGUGAAAACUCGAGGCUCAACCUCGAGACGCCGGUGGAAACCAUCAGGCUAGAGUCCGGAAGAGGAGAGUGGAAUUCCUGGUGUAGCGGUGAAAUGCGCAGAUAUCGGAAGGAACACCAGUGGCGAAAGCGGCUUCCUGGUCCAGCACCGACGUUCAGGCACGAAAGCGUGGGGAGCAAACAGG
rnacentral:rRNA from 1 species